rnacentral:rRNA from 1 species
AGAGUUCGAUCCUGGCUCAGGAUAAACGCUGGCGGCGUGCUUAACACAUGCAAGUCGAACGAAGUUUUUCUUUCGGGAGAAACUUAGUGGCGGACGGGUGAGUAACGCGUGGGUAACCUGCCCUGUACAGGGGGACAACAGCUGGAAACGGCUGCUAAUACCGCAUAAGCCCUUAGCACUGCAUGGUGCAUAGGGAAAAGGAGCAAUCCGGUACAGGAUGGACCCGCGUCUGAUUAGCCAGUUGGCAGGGUAACGGCCUACCAAAGCGACGAUCAGUAGCCGAUCUGAGAGGAUGUACGGCCACAUUGGGACUGAGACACGGCCCAGACUCCUACGGGAGGCAGCAGUGGGGAAUAUUGCACAAUGGAGGAAACUCUGAUGCAGCGACGCCGCGUGAGUGAAGAAGUAUUUCGGUAUGUAAAGCUCUAUCAGCAGGGAAGAAAAUGACGGUACCUGACUAAGAAGCACCGGCUAAAUACGUGCCAGCAGCCGCGGUAAUACGUAUGGUGCAAGCGUUAUCCGGAUUUACUGGGUGUAAAGGGAGCGUAGGUGGCAAGGCAAGCCAGAAGUGAAAACCCGGGGCUCAACCGCGGGAUUGCUUUUGGAACUGUCAUGCUAGAGUGCAGGAGGGGUGAGCGGAAUUCCUAGUGUAGCGGUGAAAUGCGUAGAUAUUAGGAGGAACACCGGAGGCGAAGGCGGCUCACUGGACUGUAACUGACACUGAGGCUCGAAAGCGUGGGGAGCAAACAGGAUUAGAUACCCUGGUAGUCCACGCGGUAAACGAUGAAUACUAGAUGUCGGGUAGCAAAGCUAUUCGGUGUCGUCGCAAACGCAAUAAGUAUUCCACCUGGGGAGUACGUUCGCAAGAAUGAAAC